rnacentral:rRNA from 1 species
UCAGGCCUAACACAUGCAAGUCGAGCGGGGUUUUCGGACCUAGCGGCGGACGGGUGAGUAAUGCGUAGGAAGCUACCCGAUAGAGGGGGAUACCAGUUGGAAACGACUGUUAAUACCGCAUAAUGUCUACGGACCAAAGUGUGGGACCUUCGGGCCACAUGCUAUCGGAUGCGCCUACGUGGGAUUAGCUAGUUGGUGAGGUAAUGGCUCACCAAGGCGACGAUCUCUAGCUGGUUUGAGAGGAUGAUCAGCCACACUGGAGGUGAGACACGGUCCAGACUCCUACGGGAGGCAGCAGUGGGGAAUAUUGGACAAUGGGCGCAAGCC